UUUCAAUCAUUAAACCAGGGAAAACGACCUUGACACCGGUGGCACACGGCUUUCCCGCACCUCUGUAUUGCGGUUGCUACACUCUUUUACUUGCCAAGUUGAUCGGUAUUUAUAAAUAGUAUGUAAUUAAUAAUUAGCUUUUCGUAAUUAUAUGUUGUUUCAAUCUUUAUGGUUCGUUAAUUACUUUUUAAGCAUCUGGAAAACAUUGCGAGCGACCGCGCGCCAGAAGUUGUUACCAAGAAAUUCACUGAUGGUACUUUGCAAGAAUUAAAUUCCAAUAACUAACGUUAUGGGUCCAACUUCCUCCGUAUAAUAAUUCAAUCCCAUGGAAAUUUUAUAAGGUAAGGUUGUCAUGGCAUGAAGCGUCUUUAUUUGGUGUAGAGGAGGGAGAAUAGAGGAGGGGAAGUGACAGUGAUGAAAGCAGUAUGAAGGUGGAAUGGGAAAGGCAAAAGUCAAAACGUGGCUCCACAUGGCGUCUUCUUUCUUGAAACGGAAAGCAACAAGGGUGAUCCAAGUCCUCAUGCAAGCUGUGCCCACUCUUUGUGUGCUAGGAAUGCUUAUCCUACUACCCAGGGUAUGUGAACCCUGUCUGCUCCCACGAUGCUCACCACUACACUCACUCACUCACCAUGCCCUGCAUCUCUCACAUCAUUCUUCCCUCUCAUUCACUGUAUCUUGUUGUUUUUACAGGAAUUUAAUAAAAAUGAAAAAAAAAAUGGUGGUGGGACCCAAUCUCAUAUUAGAUUACUUUAAUAAAAUCCCAAAAUUAAGGAUGAUAAUGAGUAAGUUUUUUCAUGCCCCACCCCGUUUCAUCUAAAUUUUAAAUUUAAAUAAAUGAGUUUAAAAUGGAUUUAAGAUUUUUAGAAAAACCUAAAUUAAAGUGGGUUUAAUUAUUGUUUUGUUUCUUCUUACCCUAUCGAAUAUAUAUAUAAUUUUAUUUAAUUUAAUUUUUAUAUAUAUUAUUAAUAAAUAUUUUUUAAUAAAAUAAGUUAUAAAAAAAUUAUAAUAUUUUAAUUAUUUAUAAAAUAUAUAUAUUUUAACAUAAUUAAAAAAUUACAAAAAAAAAAAACAUCGGGACAAGUAUAGAAAAUUUGCAUACUUAAUUUGUCUAAUUUAAUUUUUAAAAUAGAAAAUUAUUUUAAAUAAAUAGGAUUGGGACGAGGGCCACAUUUGAAUUGACUAAUAAUUUUUUAUCAAAUGAAAAAUUUAACCAUCUUAUUCUUUCAUUCCUCUCCCCUAAUUUUACUUGUAUUCGUAGUAAAUUUGAAAAAUGGUAAGAUAUUAUUUAGCUUUGAAUUUAUUUUGAGUCAUAGAUUGAGUAGGUCCAAACUCGAAAGUACCUUCCUGAAGAGGCAAAUCAAGUACAGUCAUUAAGGUGUCACAAAAAUGAGAUUGCAACGUUGGUGGAGAUGUCUUAUUCAGUUGUGAAGGUGUUGCCCUUGGAGCUUCAGUAUUGACGUAUUUUCAUGACUUUCGAAAGUAUUUGCAGGGAGAUAAAGCAAGGGCUUUUGGUAAAGGGACUCAUUAAAGUUUAAAUUUAAAUGCAAAACGAAACCCAAUUAAAUGGAGGUUUGUAGUGGUUGGCAAGUACCAUCCAAUUUAAUUAGUGUGGGAUAUUUGUGUAUAUCCUUAACAUCAAUUCCUCCUCGAUCGGUGCGAUAGUAAUUUAUAGUUGCAAGGAAAAUUAUCAUCUCUAAUCUCCUUACCACCUGAACCAUGUCGAAUAAAAUAAAUCACAAGAAAAAAAAAGCUUGUUAAUUUAGGUUGAGUCUUUUCGAAAAUUCUAAGUGUAUGUAUAAUUAUUUAUUAAAAUAAUAUUCAAAAAACAAGUAAAAAUAAUCAAAACAUUUAAACGAUAUUAUUUAAAAAUAUUUUAUUUUUUCUUAAGAAUUAACAAAAAAAAAAGUUUAAUAUUUGUAUUAUGUGUGUUUUUUUUUAAAACACAAAUCUGUUCUAAAAAAUAAUUCCUAAAUAUGUCCUUAAAUUUUGGUUGUGUGACACCUACCAUAAUACAAAUUACUUUUAAUUGUUCUUAGUUUCUCAAAGCAAAUGCAUAGUAUUUUGAUUUUUUUAAAAAACUCACAAUUUAGGAUUGAAAGAAUUUAAUAUUUUAUUUAGAAUACUAAAUCUUAAAAAUGACAAAAUAUUUAGAAUGCAUUUGGAAUGUUUUUAUUUGAAUUGUUUUUUAGUGGGAAUAUUUUUUUCUGAAUUGGUUUUUAAAAAAAACCACUUAUAAAAUACUUAUCCAGAAAACACUAUAAGUAAUUUUUGAAUACAAGUGAUUUUUUAAAAUUUUAAUAUUAUUUCCUAAAUUUCAAAAGUAAUUAACCAAUUCACCCAUGAGAGGAGUAUGUGCAAUCAUCACCCAAUAUUUGUAAUCAAUAUUUACCUUAAAAAUAAAAGGUCUUCACAUCUUCGUUAAUUGACGAAAAUAAAACAUGAAAAUAUCAUAAUCAAAAGAUUUUAAAAUCUAAAAUUCAUUUGAAAAUACAUUCAUUAGAAAUUUAUUUGAACAAAAAUAUAGUAUUAAUUAAGAUAUCUCAAAAUAAUCAGAAAGAGGAUUAUCGCAUUAAACCCAUAAUUACGAUAUAAGUUCGCCUUAGAAUGACUAACAAGCAUGAUACAUUAAUAUUUAUAUUUCAUUUUCUCAUUUAAAAAAAAAAAUCAUUCUAAUCGGAAAAAUUCAAUCUCCUAAACAUCAAAAUGUAAACAUAUUUAUUUUAAAUAAAUAGAUGUGCCAAAGAAAAUAACAUUGUUCCCAACUCCAAGUAUUGAAAGCUGCUUGAAAUUAUGGUAUUAGGAAGGAGGCAACGUGUGAGCCGAGGAUGGUAGGAGACCCCCCGCUCCAACCCCCUCCAAUCCUUCGGGGCAGUCAAUUUCACCGACGGAACACGACACACUUGUCCCACUCCCUUGAUACUUGAUAUCAUCUUAUCUACUAUUACAUCACUUAUUCCUGCAUUCUAAUCUUACCCCAAAUGUAAUUUAUAUGUGAAGGAAGCCAAGAUGGAAGAUUGCCCACCCGCUUCUCACAAACUACAAUGGUACCCCUGCCAGCUGCCGUUUCCAACCCCCACGCGGUGUCACCGUACUUAUUGCACAUACUACACUGUAGAGGGAGGACAGAUGCAAAGCCUCCAUAUGGCAUUUUAGUAAUUCACAGCCUUUUUUAAUUCCAUUAUUGGUGCCUGAAUUUCAAGGAAGGUUCAUAUAUGGGCCACCGUCUUUAAAUAUGGAGAAUUCAUGUGCCUAUACUUGGUCUUCCCAAUAAAAAUUCAAAUAAAUAAACAAAAG
rnacentral:lncRNA from 1 species